UACGUAGGGUGCAAGCGUUGUCCGGAAUUAUUGGGCGUAAAGAGCUCGUAGGCGGUCUGUCGCGUCGGCUGUGAAAACUCAGGGCUUAACCCUGAGCUUGCAGUGGGUACGGGCAGACUAGAGUGCGGUAGGGGAGACUGGAAUUCCUGGUGUAGCGGUGAAAUGCGCAGAUAUCAGGAGGAACACCGGUGGCGAAGGCGGGUCUCUGGGCCGUAACUGACGCUGAGGAGCGAAAGCAUGGGGAGCGAACAGG
rnacentral:rRNA from 1 species